rnacentral:rRNA from 1 species
AUUGAACGCUGGCGGCAGGCUUAACACAUGCAAGUCGAGCGAGCGGCGGACGGGUGAGUAAUGUCUGGGAAACUGCCUGAUGGAGGGGGAUAACUACUGGAAACGGUAGCUAAUACCGCAUACCAUCAGAUGUGCCCAGAUGGGAUUGGCUAGUAGGUGGGGUAAUGGCUCACCUAGGCGACGAUCCCUAGCUGGUCUGAGAGGAUGACCAGCCACACUGGAACUGGUGCACGGUCCAGGCUCCUUCGGGAGGCAACAAUGGGGAAUAUUGCACAAUGGGCGCAAGCCCGAUGGAGCCAUGCCGCGUGUGUGAAGGAGGCCUUCGGGUUGUAAAGCACUUUCAACGAGGAGGCGUGACUCGCAGAAGAAGCACCGGCUAACUCCGGGCCAGCAGCCGCGGUAAUUC